rnacentral:rRNA from 1 species
UGGGGGAUAUUGCGCAAUGGGGGAAACCCUGACGCAGCAACGCCGCGUGAAGGAAGACGGUUUUCGGAUUGUAAACUUCUUUGACGAGGGACGAUAAUGACGGUACCUCGAAAACAAGCCACGGCUAACUACGUGCCAGCAGCCGCGGUAAUACGUAGGUGGCGAGCGUUGUCCGGAAUUACUGGGUGUAAAGGGCGAGUAGGCGGACAUACAAGUCAGAAGUGAAAUCUAGGGGCUCAACCCCUAAACUGCUUUUGAAACUGUAUGCCUUGAGUGCCGGAGAGGAAAGCGGAAUUCCUAGUG